UAUUAAAGGCAACGCCUGCCCAGUGAAUAAUUAAACGGCCGCGGUACCCUAACCGUGCAAAGGUAGCGUAAUCACUUGUCUAUUAAUUGUAGACCCGUAUGAAAGGCAUAAUGAGGGUCUAACUGUCUCUUUUAGUAAAUCAAUUAAACUGAUCCCCUAGUCCAAAAGCUAGAAUAAUAACAUAAGACCAGAAGACCCUGUGAAGCUUUAACUAAACUGUUAAACCACAUAACAGCUCCUUUAGGUUGGGGCGACCUUGGAAAAAAAAAGAACUUCCAAAUAUAUAACACCGAUUUAACCAGGCAGACAAGCCUACAACGACCCAGUAUAACUGAUAGCUGAACCAAGUUACUCCAGGGAUAACAGCGCUAUCUUCUUCAAGAGCCCAUAUCAAAAAGAAGGUUUACGACCUCGAUGUUGGAUCAGGACAUCCUAAUGGUGCAGCCGCUAUUAAGGGUUCGUUUGUUCAACGAUUAAUA
rnacentral:rRNA from 1 species